rnacentral:rRNA from 1 species
GUGGGGAAUAUUGGGCAAUGGGCGGAAGCCUGACCCAGCGACGCCGCGUGGGGGAAGAAGUCUUUCGGGAUGUAAACCCUUGUUGUACGGGACGAAGGAAGUGACGGUACCGUACGAGGAAGCCCCGGCAAACUACGUGCCAGCAGCCGCGGUAAUACGUAGGGGGCGAGCGUUGUCCGGAAUCACUGGGCGUAAAGCGCACGUAGGCGGGCUGUCAAGUCGGCCGUGAAAGGCACGGGCUCAGCCUGUGCAUGUCGGUCGAUACUGGCGGUCUGGAGUAUGGGAGAGUGAACUGGAAUUCCCGGUGUAGCGGUGAAAUGCGAAGAUAUCGGGAGGAACACCAGUGGCGAAGGCGGGUUCCUGGCCCAUGACUGACGCUGAGGUGCGAAAGCCGGGGGAGCGAACGGGAUUAGAUACCCGAGUAGUCC